rnacentral:rRNA from 1 species
AUUGAACGCUGGCGGCAGGCCUAACACAUGCAAGUCGGACGGUAGCACAGAGAGCUUGCUCUCGGGUGACGAGUGGCGGACGGGUGAGUAAUGUCUGGGGAUCUGCCCGAUAGAGGGGGAUAACCACUGGAAACGGUGGCUAAUACCGCAUAACGUCGCAAGACCAAAGAGGGGGACCUUCGGGCCUCUCACUAUCGGAUGAACCCAGAUGGGAUUAGCUAGUAGGCGGGGUAAUGGCCCACCUAGGCGACGAUCCCUAGCUGGUCUGAGAGGAUGACCAGCCACACUGGAACUGAGACACGGUCCAGACUCCUACGGGAGGCAGCAGUGGGGAAUAUUGCACAAUGGGCGCAAGCCUGAUGCAGCCAUGCCGCGUGUAUGAAGAAGGCCUUCGGGUUGUAAAGUACUUUCAGCGGGGAGGAAGGCGGUGAAGUUAAUAACUUCACCGAUUGACGUUACCCGCAGAAGAAGCACCGGCUAACUCCGUGCCAGCAGCCGCCGCCG